UCUUGAAACUGACUUCUGUGCGCUUUGGAGAGCCAGUGUGUUGUGGUGGCUUCAGUGUGAACUAUGACCAGGUUGGGCAAGGUUCAGAUUGCUGCUCAGCCAUUGGGCUCAUUGAAUGACCUUGAACAAGGCACCCUCUCAGCCUAGUCUCAAAGGAGUUGUGAGGAUGGUGGGGGUACACACCAUAUAUGUUGCCCUACAUUUGUGGGUGGGAGGAAAAUGUUAUAGAAGGUGAUGGUUAUGGCCACAUUAAUAAAUGUAUAAUUCAUUAUAAUCUAAUUAAAUUAUGGUGGGCCGGGGUCAAUGAAGUUAGCAGAUGAUGGAUAUUAUUUUAAAAUAUAUAAGAUGUCCAGUUAGUGAUCGAUUGAUUUGCAGAAUGUUUUAGCAGAGAUUUAUUAGUAAUGAUCACAGUGGCUUCUCAGAUUAGGAUAAUACAAACAAGCUAUUGGGAGGGCUUAUAAAUAGAGCAGUCUUGUAUCAAAUGCCAAAUAUGCACGACUGCGUUUUGAAUCAGGCUCUUGCAAAGUGGCAGGUUUCCUGAUUUAUGUAUGUAGUAUCUAAUAUGUAAGGACCAUCUGCACCCUUAGAACUUGCCCAAACCCUACAGUCACCCUUGAAAGCCCUUUUCUUUGUCCCACCACUAAGGAUGAGCCUAUUAGUGAAUAUUACGGGCAAGGAUUUUCAGUGGUGGCCCCUCAGUUGUGAAUCUCCUUCCCUGGAGAACUCUGCUUAGCUCCUCCCCACUAGUACACAGGAGAAACAAACCAUAAUCCGUUCCUUGGUGUUAUGUCCAAACCAGGGGUUGUGGUUUCUUUCUCAUAAACACACGACUGUAAGUAAACCAAAACUAAUUGUGGUUUUCUUGGAGUUAAAAAAGAUCACCAUACCUAGUUCAACCAUCGCGCUGAACAAAGGAUCAUAGCUUGUCCGUUUCCAGUCACAAGUGUGCUUGCUAAACUAAGGCUAUAGAUUGGAAUGCCUCAGUUCUGAUUUAUUUUAUUUUUAAGAAUAAUGAUGUUUUGUGGUAUUUGUGAACCUGUUUGCUCCGUUACUAAGAUAUUUAAGACAAACUGUCACUAGUACAUGUUACUUGAGUGUGAUUGACAGCGCUCUUAUACCACUUCAGAAAACAAUGGAAUGUGCACCUUGAAGGGAGAGAACAUGCUUGACUUCCUGCUUAAGUCUAAAGUUAAAAGGCUUCAUGAAGAGCAUUAAGUAGUUUCACAGUGCAGAUCAAAUACUGAUUAUGAUGGAGAAAAAACGUGACUUGGAAAUGUUGAAGAAAGUUAUUUCUACUUGAUUCAUCUGUUUUUAAAGGAGUGGUGAAAAGAAGAUAAAAAUAACCAGCCAAUUCUACAUAAUCCUCUAGGCUCUUUGUGACUGGCUUGACUUUUGCACCUACUCACGAGCCAAGCUUUCCCACGCGUGCUAUAAGCAUUCUGUUACUUCCUGGCUUGGAUGUGUGUGGUGUUGGGCAAGCAGUUUAAACUUCCUAGGAUUCCGGUGUUAGCUUCUAGCCCUUUCAGUUACGGGAGGGAAAUCUGUGAAUGUUACCUGAUUACAUGUUGACUAGACUCCAUGAGGACUACAGGAGGAAAAUAAGCAAAUUUAUUUAUUUACUUAUUUAUUUCAUAGAAUUUAUGUACCACUUGAUUGGUUGUUGUUGUUUUUUUUAAAAAAAAACAACCUUCAAAGUGGUUAGCCAAGGAAAAAACAAUAUAUAUAUCUGUCUGCUUUUUAUUUAAAUGUAUGUCUAGUUUGGCCCCUACACAAUCAGCCCCUUGGAGGAAAUAGAGGAAAGCACUGCUCUCUCACAGAAGAUUUUCUCUAAUUAGUGUUGGACAAGGCAACACUUCCCUUGUUUCUCAAAGCCCUAUCUAGUCUGACAAACAGGGAUGCAAGAGCUGAGCCAUAAGUGAUGGCUGUAUUCGAGUUAGAGAAUGCUUAUUUUAACAUGCCAAUUCACUAUGGUGUACCAAGUAUCAAAAUAAAACAAAACCGAGGUCCCUUUCUGUCAUAAUUUGCUGCACCCAAAGUGUUGUAGCUCCUGUUGUCCCUACUGCAAAUGACUACCAGCCACCCAAGUGUUCUUAACCCCUAAACCUAUGGGUAGGAUUCUACAAGAGUCGGCUCUUAGAACACUUACAGAUACCUUCCUCAUGAAAAUAGAUGUAACAUUACUCAAUUAACUUUGCUUAAUCAAGGCCAUGGCUUAAUAUCAAUGUCUAGUUACAAAAUAAUUGAAAAAGAUUUUGCCAUAGUUUAAAUCUUCUGGGUUGUACACCUAUUGCUCCUCUGCUAUGUAUGUGAUUAUUCUCUCUGCAGAAAGUAGCAGUGAACACAGCUGGUUUUCUGUCACCCUCACCACAGGCUUAACAGAGUGUCUGCUUGACAGAUUGUGAUUGCAUACAUGUGCGUCCGAAGGAGGAUACAAAUACUAGGAGAUAAAACACUCAGUAGUUCAUUUAAGGUGGAUGCAGCAACGCUACUUUGGCAUGUCCACGUAAUGUCAAAGGCAGCUUAUGAUAUGCUAUCACUAAUAUGCUACUUAAUACGUUAUAACACACCCAGUCUAAUAAUUCUCAAGAGCUUAGAAACAGCACAGAACUUUGUACAAGAUUAGAGAAAGGAAAAACUUUAGAGCCAUUCCACUUCCCUAUGUGAUAUUGCCACCACUGUCAUCAUAUUGCCAACCUCAAACACAACACAUCCUGAUGCUUAGCAUGAAUGCAGAUGCAAUGUUUCUCUGAGGACUGAUUAUUAUUAUGAUUAUUAUUAUUAAUCCUUAGGGUUGGGGGAAGGAAUCUUUUUUAAAGGUUUAGACCUUUAAAAAAAUGUUUGUCGUUUCUAAUAUGUUUAUAUUAUCUGAUUGUAAGCUGCUUUGGUGGGUGCAAAAUGUAGGGUAUCAAUUUUUUUUUAAUAACUAUAUGCUUAAAUCAUGUAGACAAGAAGUGUAAAAGGUCUAGGACUAGUUGUCUUUUGCAUCUAUAUAUACUUUUCUAUCAGGUGUCAGUUGUAGCCUGUUAUCAGGAUUAAAUAUUUAGGAAUCCUGUACUUUUCUAAAGGCCGUUUUGUACCAUAAUGGAAUUGGGUUAAAGACUUUGGGCCACACAGAGAGUAAUACAUGUGCAAUCAGAUACCACAAAGCACCUGUUGCACUCAGGUUUCUGUCAAAUCAUUGCAAAGUGGAAAUUCAGGUCUGAUUGAUGCUCAAAAGUAUGAGGAGGUACAAAUCCCACAGAUCUGUUUCUUAUCAGGUGCUCCACACAGUAAACAAAUGCUGACUGAUGGCAGAGCUUUUGAACAGAUGAGUUUCAGAUAAUGGAAAGAACCUUGUCUGUUUCUCAUCUCCAGUUUGGCAGCUAGAUUUAUAGAAGCUGAAGAACACCUGAAAUUGGUUGUCUCUCUCGUGAUAAUGACAGUAGAGUCAAAACAGGCCUGUACAGUGGAGGUCCUGGGCAGGUAUCUGCCAUUAGUAUUGAAUUUAGUGUGUAUGCUCAUUUUAGCUUUCUGUUGGUGAGAAUUCAGUGGUUCCUGUUUACACUGCUGCUGUUUCUAAGUAUGUCUGGGUUAUCUCAAAGCUAUGGGUUAGUUCUACGCAAGUUUAAUCAACCCAGGCUGCUGAUCCUGUGCCUUACCUAUGGCAAAUCUCAGCUGUUUUUCAGUGGCGAGUGGGGACUCCUUGGAGGUCCUUGGAACAAGCCAGUUUAGUGCCAAACUUCCCUUUUGGUUUGUCACUCACUCAUUGUUGAAAAUUGUUCUGCUGUAACCGAGUUGAGAGAAAUUGACAAGCAAAUGCCAGUAACUAUGCAUUCUUUUUCACAUCACAGAAGAAAAUCAGUGUUGACACAUUUCAUCUUCGGAAUAAAAGCAUUAAACGUUCAUUUCCCACACUUCAUGAGAACUGUUGCAGUGCCAUUCAAAGUCUGACAUUUUUGUUGCUUUCUUUGAUGUAAUUCUACCAAGGCAUACAGUGGUACCUCGGGUUACAUACGCUUCAGGUUACAGACUCAGCUAACCCAGAAAUAGUGCUUCAGGUUAAGAACUUUGCUUCAGGAUGAGAACAGAAAUCUUGCUCAGGCGGCGCGGCAGCAGCAGGAGGCCCCAUUAGCUAAAGUGGUGCUUCAGGUUAAGAACAGUUUCAGGUUAAGAACGGACCUCCGGAACGAAUUAAGUACUUAACCCGAGGUACCACUGUACUAUGGAGCCCUCUAGAUUUAGAUCAGUGGUAGCCUAUGUGGCUGCUUCCAGAUGUUGUUGGACCACAAUUCUCAUCUAAGUAUGGCAUAUGCUGAUUGAUUCAUGGUGGUAAAUGUUCUGCCUGGGUUUUAGAUUUUUACUUACCGACUGCAAAUCAUUGACCAUCUCUUUUAUUGGAAUGUAUAAGAAAUAAUUUUUAUAUCGGGAUUUGUAGUCUUCGGUGUUAUGUUUUCAUUUAAAUACAUAGUGCAGCUUAGAAAAGCCAUGUUUUGCCCUGGAUAUUUUAAACUGUGGAAAUGUUUCUUGAAUUGCCAGUAGUACAUCUAAACAGAACGUCUUAACAUAUAAAAACUCCACCAAGCACAUCUAUGAACAUUGUUGUAUUAUAGUUCCUCACUUAGAUGAUCUGUGGGUAUCUCUGCUGCUAAGAAGAUUCUGUUUAAAUAAGGAUCUUAUCAUUAAUUUAUACUUUUAUUGCAUUUUGGGGUUAGAUUAAAAGUUGUGCAUUGCUGUGCUGAAUAGUUUUCCUGGCUAGUCAGCUACUUCAGGAUGGCUGCACGCUUGGUGACCCAUCCUUACUGAACUUCUGGAUCAGACUUGUGUGGCUUUCCACCUUCCCAUUCAGCACUUCCAUGUAUCUUAUUGUUGGGGGGGGCGUGUUUAUCUUCAACCUAUAAAUAUUGCUCUCCGUGUAUGCACCACAGAAGCUUCAGUAAAGUGGUCAAGCUCGCCAACACGAAACUGUUGCUUUAAGCGGAGUUGUUUUGCUUGGCAUACACAAAACACACACUUUAUAUAGGUCGCACGAAGACUUUUCUCCCUCUGCUCCCAGAGGGGUUUCUGUACUUCAGAGCCCUUGCUGAACAAAAUCCGCACACAAGUUCUGAGUCAAUUUGCACAAAGUCCUGCAACAGCUUAGAGCAGUGGUUGCCAACUCGUGGUCAGCGUAGCCCAUGGGGUCCACAUAAACCACCUGGGGGUCCGUGGCACCACUAACAU